UGCGCAGGCGGAACAAUAAGUCAGUGGUGAAAUCCUACGGCUCAACCGUAGAACUGCCAUUGAAACUGUUGUUCUUGAGUAUAGUUGAAGUGGGCGGAAUGUGUCAUGUAGCGGUGAAAUGCAUAGAUAUGACACAGAACUCCGAUCGCGAAGGCAGCUCACUAAACUAUAACUGACGCUCAUGCACGAAAGCGUGGGUAGCGAACAGGAUUAGAUACCCUGGUAGUCC
rnacentral:rRNA from 1 species